GACGAACGCUGGCGGCGUGCUUAACACAUGCAAGUCGAGCGGUAAGGCCCUUUCGGGGUACGACGAGCGGCGAACGGGUGAGUAACACGUGGGUGACCUGCCUCAGCUCUGGGAUAAGCCUGGGAAACCGGGUACUAAUACUGGAUAUGACUCCAUGACGCAUGUUGUGGGGUGGAAAGCCUUGUGCGGCUGAGGAUGGGCCCGCGGCCUAUCAGCUUGUUGGUGGGGUGAGGCCUACCAAGGCGACGACGGGUA
rnacentral:rRNA from 1 species